UUUGAAUAUUAAAACUGGUGAGUCACCUAGGAGUAAGAAGAUUGUGAAAGCGUCAAGGAAUGCUGCUUCUACACAUGACAGGAAUGUUCUUUGAGUCUCAUCAUCAAAGCGAAUCAACUCUUUCAUCACCAUCACCUCCCCCGUCUCCUUGUGGGUCACCUGGAACAAAACACGGAAGUUUGUGAAGCUUUCAUCCCACUCCCUUCCCCAGCACCUCUCCAUGGAUGAGGUCAGAGGGGCGGAAGAUGCGGUGCGUCCGGUUGGAGACGACUCGGAGUGACUCUGAUCGAUUGAUGUCCUUCCUCUGGGAGACGGGGGAUGCUGCAUUGCUGGAGCCUGGUGACUUAUCGAUGCUGUAGCUCCGCCUGGACGAGGAGAGGAAGAGAAAGAAGAGAAGGAAAAGGAAAAUGAGAGAUGAGGACGACACAGUGAGGGAAGGGAUUAAUAUUUAAAUAGUGUUUGCUGCUAUGAGAAAAAUUCCCUGAGGUUCAUCUUUAUGUAGGGCACAAAUAGUGUAUGCUAAAAGGCCAAAUGACCUUAUUAUUAUGGUACAAAUCUGAUUGAAAACUGAAUGUGAAAAGAC